GACGAACGCUGGCGGCGUGCUUAACACAUGCAAGUCGAACGGAAAGGCCCUGCUUUUGUGGGGUGCUCGAGUGGCGAACGGGUGAGUAACACGUGAGUAACCUGCCCUUGACUUUGGGAUAACUUCAGGAAACUGGGGCUAAUACCGGAUAGGAGCUCCUGCUGCAUGGUGGGGGUUGGAAAGUUUCGGCGGUUUGGGAUGGACUCGCGGCUUAUCAGCUUGUUGGUGGGGUAGUGGCUUACCAAGGCUUUGACGGGUAGCCGGCCUGAGAGGGUGACCGGCCACAUUAGGACUGAGAUACGGCCCAGACUCCUACGGGAGGCAGCAGUGGGGAAUAUUGCACAGUGGGCGGAAGCCUGAUGCAGCAACGCCGCGUGCGGGAUGACGGCCUUCGGGUUGUAAACCGCUUUCGCCUGUGACGAAGCGUGAGUGACGGUAAUGGGUAAAGAAGCACCGGCUAACUACGUG
rnacentral:rRNA from 1 species